rnacentral:lncRNA from 1 species
AGAACUCAAGAGGCAGCCUAGCUUCCCACCACAAAGAAACCACUUUAUUCCUGUAAUUUAGUGAAAGCUGUAGGAAAAUACAGUCCAGAGGAAAAGGAGCUCGCAUGGAAAACAGGCCAGACCAUAGGAUAGACAGCAAUACCUCCUCACAGGCAAAACAACAAAGCAAUACAGAGAAGCAGAGAAGAGGAAAGGCAGGAGUGGGGAGA